AACACUGUUAACCUGCGGUACCUGCGGAGGGAUCAUUACCGAGUUUACAACUCCCAAACCCCUGUGAACAUACCUAUAUGUUGCCUCGGCGGAUCAGCCCGCGCCCCGUAAAACGGGACGGCCCGCCGCAGGAUCCACAAACUCUGUUUUUAUUGUAACUUCUGAGUAACAAAACAAAUAAAUCAAAACUUUUAACAACGGAUCU
rnacentral:misc_RNA from 1 species